rnacentral:lncRNA from 7 species
AGACUCGGAGAUGUUUCACUCUGUGUAAGAUGCAUCAAGCCUACCAGUCCGUUUUACCUUGUAGCAGUAAAUAUCUUCAGCUAAAAUGGGACAAAGCAAAGUACGAAGAGCACAGGAAAAGGAUCCAGGCAGCAAAACCCUCAGUGGACACAAGUGCCCAUGCAGCAUACAGCCACCCUCAUCUGAAGUUGGGGAAGCUGAAAGUGUUGUAUCGGGUGUUUCACUUCGCACUAUCAGGCUUACCUUCAUUAUCUCCUCUCAAGGAAAACAAAGAGACUACCAGAUGGCCAAAAAUUUCAUUAUUUUCUCCCUACCAGGGACUGCUGUGACAGGGCUAUCAGGAACCGUGGGUAGCAUCCUCCCAGCUAUACAUUAUUUUACUUUUUUUUACUACCGAUUGAAUCAAACUGCUUCAGAUUGACAAGCAAUAAAGCAUUCGAGUAUCCUUUUAAAAGGUACUUCUG